GGAACACAAGUUUGAGAGAGCCAUCAGAACUUGAUGAAAGUCUGACCCUGAGUGAAGGAAAUAAGGCAGAAUGGGAAGAAACUAGACCACUGUGUAGUCUAAGGAUGUUCAGCAAGACCAUCACUGAGUUCUCAAGUCAUAAUCAACCAUUUUAUGAGUACCAUGUCUCCCAGAAAUGUACUUGCCUUAGUACAUUGCCUGUCACCAUCAGUCACUAGGGAAAACAGCCUAUGGGAAAUGUGGUCUUGUACAAAUGGUACAGUGGAUUUCAGAGGACAGAAUCUGAGGCCAUUGUGCUACUGUAGCUGGAGACCUUUGAGGCAUAUUCUCAUGCCUGACACACUCUAUAAGAGCAAGGGCUGUGUUCUCCCCCUCCAUUACCAGAGAUUUCCACAAUGUCUGAUGCACAGAUGAUGCUCAAGACAUACUUGGACAAUGCCUAUUUCUUCACAGGACUAUUUCUUUUUUGGGUGUUGAGUUUGAUAAGUUCUUUAUAGAUUUUGGAUACUAACCCUUUAUCUGAUAUGUCAUUUGCAAAUAUCUUCUCCCAUUCUGUCAGUUGCCUUUUAGUUUUGCUGAUUGUUUCCUUCGCUGUGCAGAAGCUUUUAAUUUUGAUGAGGUCCCCAUAGUUCAUUUUUGCUUUUGUUUCCCUUGCCUCCAGAGACAUGUUGUGUAAGAAGCAGCUGUGGCCAAGAUCAAAGAGGUUUUUGCUUGCCUUCUCCUUGAGGAUUUUGAUGGCUUCCUGUCUUACAUUUAGAUGGAGAAACCAAGAGUCAGAAAGAUUAAGAUAACUUCUCCAAGAUCACAAGUAGCAGACUCAGGGCCAGGAUGACACCUCAGUGGACUCACAUCUGAAUCAUCCCAGGAAGUCUAGAGGGAGGAAAUGAGAGGAUGUUCUAUUCACAGAAUGGUGGAUGCCACCACCCAGCGAGAAGCCAAAGGCCCCUUCUCAAAACUCUGACAAGUAGGGGAAGCAAGCCAGCCUGGCUCCCAGCUAUACCCAACAUGUCUCUUUGAAACUCACUUCAGGACCUAGGAAAGAGCUCGAGGACCGGGCCACAGGCUGUCUGUCCUACCUGAGCCUUCCAGUCACUUCCACAUAUUUUUGAAGGUAUUAUUUUCAACUGUCUGAACAAAUAACAGAAUCAAAGGGUAAUGUGAACUAAGUGAUCUACCUGUGAUCGUGGAGUGGACCAUGGAAGAGAGAAAGAACUUCCAUCCACCUCUCCCAAAAGUCUCUGAUUUGAAUCCCUACCUAGGAGUUGGCAGUGUUUUUAAAAUUAGUUAGUCCUGUCCCAUAUCGUUAUCCAAAGGACUCAAAGUGGCUUGGAAUAUGAAUAGAUAAAGUAAAUAAUGGUAAAAUGUAAACAAGUAAAGAUAACCAAGGCUGGGUAAAAUGAAAAUAUAAAAAGUAAAUUCAAGGGGAAAAUAUUAAUCAUAGAGGAAACGUUGCCUUAGAGCCCAAAAUACUGCAGUGCAUUUAAAAUAGAUAUUCCAUGUGUGGGGUUCAGUUGAUGAUGUAUUUUUAAGGUUUUAGUAACUUCUGUGGGGUUUCACUUCAUGCCAGAUAUUGACCAAGAAUGAUUAAAGCAGUGAAACUAUAGAGUUUAUCUCCAGGAUGUGGUCAAUACGCAGUAUUCAUACAUCCGUGGUUAAAUAGGAGAUGUGUUUUCCAAGUCUAAUGUUGCCAAAAAGACCACGUCAAUGCUUUGUGCAGAACAGGAUUUUUAUUUCAAAAAUAAGUCUGAAUCAUGACUAUUCAUUCAUUUAGCAAAUAUUAUGACAAUAAAUUAUCUGCCAGGAACGGUGCAGUACACUGGAAAUUCAAAGGCAAAUAUGACAUGGAAACUUUCCUAUAGGACUUCUCUGUCUAGAGAAACAGACUUAAAAUAUAUAAUCAGCACAACCAAAAUAAGUGUGAUUAUACAGAUGUGUACAGUGGGUAUAAAAGCAGAGAUGGGGUCAACCACUUCACUGAGGUUGGCUGGUGUAUCUUAUCUUCUAACCAAUACUCAUCCAGUUACAAGGACAUCAGGGUUCUGGUGCCAUCCUUAAUCAAGUGAACCUGGGGGGAUCAUAGAAUAAAUGAUUUACCUUUGUGUCCUGCUAAUUAUCUCCACAUUUCUGAUUUGAUUGUGUGGAAAAAUAAGGCAGGGAAAAUGCAGUGUCCAGCUUAAAAACAGUGGCCAAGAGGAACAGAAUGGAGAAAUGUGAAGAAAUGCUAUAGCAAAUCUUUUAUAACAAACAGGUUAGUGAGAAUAAUUUUUUGGCAUGGCAUAGGCAUUUUGUCCUUGGCAAUCCUCCAUAUAGUAAAAGCAUCUUCAGGAUAAAAAAAAAAAAGACAACUUUUUAGCAGAUUAUGCAUCCAUUAAAAACACCUACAAUCAUAUUUAAAACAAAAAAUCUAGCAUCUUGAGAGAGAGGAAAAUUGGCGGUGUUUUUCUAACAGUAGCCAAAAGUGAUCUAAGAAUUUUAACCCUUCCGAACUCUAGUGCUGACUCAAAAAUUUGGAGCUACCACUUCUGGCUGACCUGGCUGGAGAACAGUUUCAUGGCCAUAAAAAAUUUAGCAUGAGUGCUGAAGAAUUUACCAUGCUGUAUGGAGGAAAGCAACCCACAUAUAGAAUUUAUUGUGAUUGAUUCCAGUAUGUGUGUCUGGAGAACCCCCAAAGCAGGGCUCCAUAGCAAAUCGACAUAUGCCUGAUGUUAUCUCAAGGCAAGUUUCUACUGUAUAAACAAAAGCAGAUAAAGAAACUUUUAAAGAAAAUAACUUCCUCUUUUCUUCUUUAUAUUUAUUCACAGAUUGGAAGUUGAGAAAAAAACUUAAAAAGAAAAUGCUAAGAAAUGCCAAAGCUGGAUAUGUCAAGGGAUUAGAUAAAGUAGAGAACCUUCAUGAGAAAUGUGCACACUUGUGAUACAAAGCUAAGUCACCAGGAACUACAAGCACUGAACCCAAAGUCUAAAUGUAUGUGAAAGAUGGCAUUGGAUUAAGAACACACAGGCCAUGAGUGAACGAAACUCCGAGUUGACUCCCAGCUCCUCCGGUGAUUCCAUGACUCUGGGAACUACAGUGGUAACUCACAUAUGGAUUCAAAAUCUGGACUGGAACAUCUCCAUAUAUGUAAAACUAACUUUACAUAUACGCUUCAAUUAUAAACACAAGAGCUGAAAAUCGAAAGUGACUAACGCUGAAUGACCUAAACCUGAGUACUUAAAUAGUAAUUGAAGAGACUGUUUAUUAAUUUGUUUGGUUUCAAAUCUGAACUUUUUAAAAUUGGAAGUGUUGAAAGUAUUUGCCUAUACACUAUUUGGAAUAUUCUCAUUAAAGUGUGAAAUUCCAAUGCUAUGCUGGUUUCAUUAAUGGCACCGGAUGAUGCAGGGCAAGUUACUACUGAGGAUGGUAUAAAAGUCAUAGAAGAGUGUCCAGAAUACUUACUAGAGAGCCCCUCUUGGACAUUUCAUGAACAUGUCCCUGAGGGUUUGUGAAUACAUUUGACCAAAUUCGCAGUUUUUAUCCCACUAUAAAGAUGCUCCAAUCUACUCUGUCUUCAGACCGGUAAAAAAAACCAAACAAACAAAAAAACAAACAAACAAAAAAACAAAAGGAGGAACAUCAACAUGUUUUUCUAUUCUACGGGCAUGAAGGUGAUGUGUUUGUCCUGGCUGAACACACAUGGUAUGUAGAUAUCCAGACUUGAGAGUCACAAACAGCUGUUAAUCUGAAAGCACCAUAGUACACACUGUACAUCUUAAAAAUGUAUUUUGGGAAAGGCUGAUCUCACAUAUACAUGCUUAUCUGUCAACAAGCAUGAUUUUCACAGCUGAGAUGUAUACCUUUUGAUUGCACUCGUUUUAUCCACUUGAAGAUCCAUUCAAUGUAUAUGCAGAGUUACAAAUUUUUCUCCAUUAAUAAGAUUCUAAAGUUCAGUUCAGUUGGUAUCUAGGUUGGUAAGAAAAACCUCUGUUUGUAUUGUGAGGCCUUUGCCCAGCAAAUCACAAAUUAGACAGUGACCACCUGGCCUGGUUUCCCAGAGAGUGCACCCCUAUUUGGUGGGCCCUGGCAGUUGUUUGCCAGAGAUUUGAACUGAGGCAAUCUGCCCACCUCAGCCCCUGAUCGUAAACUCUGGAGCCAGCUGAAUUUCAGCUUCGGCUGAAGUGAAAAGUAGCUAUGUGGUUUAAAUUCAUCUUGACUCACAGUUUCACUGUUUUAUCCAGGCUAAAGCUGCUCACUGUGUCUGUGGUUUUCUUACAUAAAUUUUCAAUCCAGCUAGUGCUAUUAUACAGUGUCUUUUCCAGCCCUGGUGUUGGGGGUGGAUUUUUAGCUCGCAUAUUUUUUCCAGAUGUGAUAAGCUCUCCAUAGCCCUC